GGGUCAGUAGGUUGGUCGUGCCACCGGUACGUACUGGUCUCGCUGAUUCCUCCUUCCUGAAGAACCGUAAUGCCAUUAAUUUGGUGUUGCGGGGAAACAGGACUGUUACUUUGAAAAAAUUAGAGUGUUUAAAGCAAGCUAACGCUUGAAUACAUUAGCAUAGAAUAAUGAAAUAGGACGAUCGAUCCUAUUUUGUUGGUUUCUAGGAUUGACGUA
rnacentral:rRNA from 1 species